CAUCCAUGGACUUACGGCCAGGGCUACACACGUACUACAAUGGUAGGGACAGAGGGCUGCAAGCCGGCGACGGUGAGCCAAUCCCAGAAACCCUAUCUCAGUCCGGAUUGGAGUCUGCAACUCGACUCCAUGAAGUCGGAAUCGCUAGUAAUCGCAGAUCAGCAUUGCUGCGGUGAAUACUUUCCCGGGCCUUGUACACACCGCCCGUCACACCAUGGGAGUUUGUUGCACCAAAAGCAGGUAGCUUAACCUUCGGGAGGGCGCUUGCCACGGUGUGGCCGAUGACUGGGGUGAAGUCGUAACAAGGUAGCCUCAUCGCAAAGUGCGGUUGGAUCACCUCCAA
rnacentral:rRNA from 1 species